GAUGAACGCUGGCGGCGUGCUUAACACAUGCAAGUCGAACGAAGCACUUUGAUCGAUUUCUUCGGAUUGAAAUCUUAGUGACUGAGUGGCGGACGGGUGAGUAACGCGUGGGUAACCUGCCUCACACAGGGGGAUAACAGUUGGAAACGGCUGCUAAUACCGCAUAAGCGCACAGUACCGCAUGGUACGGUGUGAAAAACUCCGGUGGUGUGAGAUGGACCCGCGUCUGAUUAGCUAGUUGGCAGGGCAGCGGCCUACCAAGGCGACGAUCAGUAGCCGACCUGAGAGGGUGACCGGCCACAUUGGGACUGAGACACGGCCCAAACUCCUACGGGAGGCAGCAGUGGGGAAUAUUGCACAAUGGGGGAAACCCUGAUGCAGCGACGCCGCGUGAGCGAAGAAGUAUUUCGGUAUGUAAAGCUCUAUCAGCAGGGAAGAAAAUGACGGUACCUGACUAAGAAGCCCCGGCUAACUACGUGCCAGCCGCCGCGGUAA
rnacentral:rRNA from 1 species